rnacentral:rRNA from 1 species
CUACAGGCUUAACACAUGCAAGUCGAGGGGCAGCAUGUGGUUGCUUGCAACCAAUGAUGGCGACCGGCGCACGGGUGAGUAACGCGUAUCCAACUCCCCUAGUAGAGGAUAGCCCGGCGAAAGUCGGAUUAAUACUCUAUGUUCUUCAAUGCGGGCAUCUAAGUUGAAGCAAAGAUUUAUCGCUAAGGGAUGGGGAUGCGUCUGAUUAGGUUGCAGGCGGGGUAACGGCCCACCUGGCCUACGAUCAGUAGGGGUUCUGAGAGGAAGGUCCCCCACACUGGUACUGAGACACGGACCAGACUCCUACGGGAGGCAGCAGUGAGGAAUAUUGGUCAAUGGGCGCGAGCCUGAACCAGCCAAGUAGCGUGCAAGGGACGACUGCCCUAUGGGUUGUAAACUGCUUUUAUCAGGGAAUAAAGUGAGGCACGCGUGCCUUUUUGUAUGUACCUGAUGAAUAAGGACCGGCUAAUUCCGUGCCAGCCGCAGC